GUGGGGAAUUUUGGACAAUGGGCGCAAGCCUGAUCCAGCAAUGCCGCGUGCAGGAAGAAGGCCUUCGGGUUGUAAACUGCUUUUGUACGGAACGAAACGGUCCUGGUUAAUACCUGGGGCUAAUGACGGUACCGUAAGAAUAAGCACCGGCUAACUACGUGCCAGCAGCCGCGGUAAUACGUAGGGUGCGAGCGUUAAUCGGAAUUACUGGGCGUAAAGCGUGCGCAGGCGGUGCUGUAAGACAGGCGUGAAAUCCCCGGGCUCAACCUGGGAAUUGCGCUUGUGACUGCAGUGCUGGAGUACGGCAGAGGGGGAUGGAAUUCCGCGUGUAGCAGUGAAAUGCGUAGAUAUGCGGAGGAACACCGAUGGCGAAGGCAAUCCCCUGGGCCUGCACUGACGCUCAUGCACGAAAGCGUGGGGAGCGAACAGGAUUAGAUACCCGUGUAGUC
rnacentral:rRNA from 1 species